CUCUUAUCAAGAGCAGGCGGAGGGACAAGCCCAGUGAAGCCCGGCAACCGGUUUGAAAAACACGGUGCUAAUUCUUGCAGCGAUUAUUAGCUGAUAGAUAAGAG
rnacentral:ncRNA from 2 species